UACGUAGGGUGCGAGCGUUGUCCGGAAUUAUUGGGCGUAAAGAGCUCGUAGGCGGUUUGUCGCGUCUGCUGUGAAAUCCCGAGGCUCAACCUCGGGCUUGCAGUGGGUACGGGCAGACUAGAGUGCGGUAGGGGAGACUGGAAUUCCUGGUGUAGCGGUGGAAUGCGCAGAUAUCAGGAGGAACACCGAUGGCGAAGGCAGGUCUCUGGGCCGCAACUGACGCUGAGGAGCGAAAGCAUGGGGAGCGAACAGG
rnacentral:rRNA from 1 species